rnacentral:rRNA from 1 species
UGAGCAAUCUGCCCUUCUCAUCGGAAUAAGCGUUGGAAACGACGUCUAAUGCCGAAUACGACCUCCUUUCGCAUGAUCGGAGGUGGAAAGCUCCGGCGGAGAAGGAUGAGCUCGCGGCCUAUCAGCUAGUUGGUGUGGGUAAUGGCCCACCAAGGCGACGACGGGUAGCCGGCCUGAGAGGGCGACCGGCCACACUGGGACUGAGAUACGGCCCAGACUCCUACGGGAGCAG